UGUGCCUGCCCCAUGGGGAUGGAGCCUGC
rnacentral:piRNA from 1 species